ACUAUUGAAUGCUGGCCACCAGAUAGCAAAUACCCUCUUCCUGUGUUCUCUACAUUUGUGUUAACUGGAGCCUCAGCUGAAAAGGUUUAUGGUGCUGCUAUUCAAUUUUAUGAACCAUACUCCGAGGAGAACCUUACAGAAAAACAGAGACUUCUUUUGGGUUUAACGUCUCUGGUAGAUGGAAAGUCUGAUGGUUCUAGAACGAUUCACACUAACAAAUGCAUUUGUCUGCUUUCCCACUGGCCUUUUUUUGAUGCAUUCAGAAAAUUUCUGACUUUUCUGUAUCGUUAUUCCAUCUCUGGACCUCAUGCCCUUCCAAUUGAGAAGUAAGUUAUAAAUUCCAAGGUUUAAAUUUUACACUCCAUGAUGGGCAUGGUGGUACAUCUCUGUGAGUCGGAGGCAGGCCUGGUCAACAUAGUGAGUUCCAGGACGACCAGAGCCAUAUAGAGAGAUCAUAUUUUAAAAAAACAUGUCAGCCCUUUCCUGAUUAAAUAUAAAAUUGAUUCAAUUUU
rnacentral:lncRNA from 1 species